rnacentral:rRNA from 1 species
CGAGUGGCGGACGGGUGAGUAAUGUCUGGGAAACUGCCGGAUGGAGGGGGAUAACUACUGGAAACGGUAGCUAAUACCGCAUAACGUCGCAAGACCAAAGAGGGGACCUUCGGGCCUCUUGCCAUCGGAUGUGCCCAGAUGGGAUUAGCUAGUAGGUGGGGUAACGGCUCACCUAGGCGACGAUCCCUAGCUGGUCUGAGAGGAUGACCAGCCACACUGGAACUGAGACACGGUCCAG